CCGGGACCCGCACAAGCAGCGGAGCAUGUGGUUUAAUUCGAAGCAACGCGAAGAACCUUACCAGAUCUGACACCCAAUUGACCAUCUUUUAAUCGAGAUUUUUCGCCUUCGGGUACAAUUGAGACAGGUGGUGCAUGGUUGUCGUCAGCUCGUGUCGUGAGAUGUUGGGUUAAGUCCCGCAACGAGCGCAACCCUUGUGUUUUAGUUGCAAACAGGUCAAGCUGUGCACUCUAGACAGACUGCCGUGGACAACACGGAGGAAGGUGGGGAUGACGUCAAAUCAUCAUGCCCCUUAUGAUCUGGGCUACACACGUGCUACAAUGGCCGGUACAACGGGCAGCGAAGGAGCGAUCCGGAGCGAAUCCUAAAAAGCCGGUCCCAGUUCGGAUUGCAGGCUGAAACUCGCCUACAUGAAGUUGGAGUUGCUAGUAAUCGCGAAUCAGAAUGUCGCGGUGAAUGCGUUCCCGGGUCUU
rnacentral:rRNA from 1 species